rnacentral:rRNA from 1 species
CCUACGGGAGGCAGCAGUGAGGAAUUUUGCGCAAUGGGGGAAACCCUGACGCAGCAACGCCGCGUGAGUGAAGAAGGCCUUUGGGUCGUAAAGCUCUGUCAACUGGGAAGAAGUUACAUAUGAUUAACAGUGAUAUGUAUUGACGGUACCAGUGGAGGAAGCGCCGGCUAACUCCGUGCCAGCAGCCGCGGUAACACGGGGGGCGCAAGCGUUAUUCGGAAUUAUUGGGCGUAAAGGGCGCGUAGGCGGUUCUGUCGGUCAGAUGUGAAAGCCCGGGGCUCAACCCUGGAAGUGCAUUUGAAACAGCAGAACUUGAGUACGGGAGAGGAAAGCGGAAUUCCUGGUGUAGAGGUGAAAUUCGUAGAUAUCAGGAGGAACACCGAUGGCGAAGGCAGCUUUCUGGACCGAUACUGACGCUGAGGCGCGAAGGCGUGGGUAGCGAACGGGAUUAGAUACCCCGGUAGUCCACGCAGUAAACGAUGUUCACUAGGUGUAGCGGGUAUUAAAACCUGCUGUGCCGCAGCCA